UAUAGAACCUUCCAGAGCGGCGGCGACGCGGCGUGGAUUGGGGAGUGUUGAAGUGAGGUGCUGUGAAGCUGCAGUCAGACUGUGUUGUGGUAAAGAAGAGAAAGCAGCAGCAAGAUCCUGUGUUCUGACGGUGGCCUUGCACUUCACUGUGGGAUCUUAGUCAAGACGAGACAUGUGCGAACCCAGUGGCAGUGUGAGGACCCAGCCUUGUGUACACAUCUGGUGCUGCUUUACUCACGUUCUCCCACUCAGAAAAUCUGAUGAUAAAGACCUCAGGAAAGCAGUACAUCUCAGUCCUACAGAAACUGACCUGGCCUCUCUUAAUGAAAUGUAUUCUCUGCGAGGUAACUGUGGCGUUAGCUAGGAGGUAGAUUGGAACUGUCCUGAUUCCUUUUUAAGGCUACUGGCCUAUUGGACCAACUACCGGUAGGCUGGAAUAGAUUUGAACCAAUAAUAUGCAUGGGGAAUUGGUGAUGUUUUCAUUCUAGCCCCAUAUUUGAUAAAACAGCAUCAUCAUGUGUACUGAUAAAGCAAUUACCAUCAAGCCUGGAUUGUCUGUUUUUUCAGAGAAGACAACUCGGUGAUCCUUGUUUAUAACAACUACACUUAUAAGAAUGGAAGUGUGGGGAGUACGACCAUCACUUUUCAAGCUACCGGUAACCUGCAGUGUAUGCCCAGGCCCCUGCUUUUCAGAGCUAGGCACCAGAGCUGAAUUAGCUGUGAUUAGAAAAUACAGGAAUGUUCUUUAAGGCAGAGAAGCAGAGCAAGCAAAGUUUUCCCUAGGGGUGUCAUCAUCUGGUGCUUCAUGCCUUGUAUGAAUCAGCUUCUGAAAUUUCAAGACAAUGUACUUUCAUGGCUGCAACUCUCAUCUCCUCAAAUAAAACCGGGCUGAAAGAUACUUACUGCCUUUAUAAAGCUCAGACCUUCAUGUGAUUUAAUACCAUCAGCUCCAGACUGAUUCCUGCAGUUCACUCUGGCAGUAAGAAGAUGUUUCAAGAGUCCAGCUCUAAUUGUUCUUGAUUUUCACUGAGUCUUAACAUAAGCUGUUGUUCAUAAUAAAGGCUCUUUGCAUAGUUUAUUUCUUGACAUAGCUUUACUGCAAGAACUUCAGAUUUCACAUUGACCUGCAGAAAGAAAUGGGUAACACUGCGUACAAACUGCUGUGAGCCACAUCCAAGUAAACCCUCAGCUGCAAGUGGAAUGUCAGCAAGCACAAAUAUUUUUAAAGCUCAGACCAUGCUUUAUUUUGUGAUAUAAAAGAAAAUUAUAGUAAUUAUUUUCUCUUAAUACUUGUCUGCAAGAUCCUGCUCAGUGCUGAAUUUGUCUUUUCUCUGCCCUAUGCCUCCUUGUCAUAUCAAUCAGCUAACACUGGUUUCCAUAGGAGUGAAAAAAGGCAUACGUGCUCAUUCAAGUUGUUAAAUUUUCAUUUUAAGUGGCGUGAAGAGUACAGUCAUUCUUAACCUGCUGGGUAGCCUGCAGAACAGUCUUGUUUCAGAGGACAGGCAAAUGAAAGUCCAGUGUUUUACAGAGAUCCUACGUGUGACUUGGGUCAUGCUUCCACUGGAAGAGCAACCAGAACAAACCUGCUGGUACACUGCCUUUGUUUCCUUUCCAGCAGGGAAAGAAACUAAAAAAAGUAAUCAUGAGAAAUCCCAACUAUACUGUACUACCAUUCCUUGCAACUGUCAGGGUAAAGCUGAGUACACCCACAAAAGCAGAACUGUUGGGUUUUUUCCCACAUAUAUGGGAUUCCAACGCUCUGUAUGGAGAUAUCCAUGGAGAGAACUGAACCAGCAAAAGCUAUGGUGAAGUUAAGUGGGAACAACUGAGAAAUCAGACUACAGGGCUGUAUUUUUUCCCCCAUAAGAAGAUUAUAUCUGAUUUUUCAUGGUGUCAUAUAUGUACUUUGAGGAAUGGAAACAAGGAUGUAUUUUAUGGCGAAGCACUGAAACAUCAGCUAGUUUGUAGUUAAGGCUCUACAUUUUGUUCUAACUUUGAGUCAUGGAUCAUUACCCAUUUUCCCUUGCCAACUGUUAUUUUCUUCUCAGUGCCUAGUUCUCAAAAUGGGUAUUUAACCUUUUAAGAUACGACUGCAAGAUAUUACUUCUUCAGUUGAUUUAUGUAAGUAAAAAGACCCAACAAACUUGCAUUGACACUAUUUUAAAAAUUUCAAAUUAAUAAAAUGGAAGAUUAAAUGAAACAUGAUCCAGUAGAACAAAGCAGAAGCAAGCAGACCUCUGGAGAAUUUGUGGGUUUUUAACAACAUCAGGAAGUAAUUACACAAUAUUUUCCAGAAGUGAAACAGUGAGUCUAACUGGAAAAAAAUGUGGAAACAUUUAGUUAGAACAGUAGAGCAAGGUAUUAAACCCCCUUUUAUGGAUUUAACUCUGGAAGAAAAUAUGCAAAUAAUCACAUCUCUAAAUAUGUUUCUGGUUAUGAUACUAGGAUAAAAGUCAGAGGCAUAAUUUUGUACUUAUUUUCCACGACAAGAAACACUGUUUUCUUGUUGUGUGAUGCUCCUAAUGGUGGAAGUCACAGUGAAUGGACAGCGUGACUGAAAUGACAACAGCCCACAGUUCUACUUAUGGGGUACACUUGUCAAAAGCUGACACUGUUUGGUUUUUUAAUCACAAAUUGUUCUCUUCUAAUUCUCCCCGCUAAAGAGCCAGACUGGAUACACCAUUUAAGUCCUUUCCAUAAGAUGUAAACAGGAUAACAUGACUGUAAGAUCACAGGCCACAGGUGGCAACUACAAACUUCCUCACAGGCGCACAGCUUUCAGUGCCUCAUUAUUGAGGCUGGUGGAGUUGAGACAGUGCAAUGAAUGGGGGAACUCCCC
rnacentral:lncRNA from 1 species